GGAGCAGCCCAAGGCUGCGGAUCUAGCCUUUCUCCCUCCGGUCUCCAGACCCACGCAGGUUAAGGCAGCCAAGCAGAGACAGCGGAGCCCCGGUGCGUGGUUCAGGCCUGGUCAACAGGUAGGAGGGCCAGACUGGGGGCCAGGCACAGAGGAGGGCAGGCCCGCCCGCACCGGCGUCCAGGGUCCCGGGUUCCGGGUCCCGGGACUGGAGGAGGUCGCCGGCAGCCCGCCCUUCCAGAGGCUUGAGAUUGGGUGGACGAGACCUGAAGAUCCUCUCGGUCUGGACCCCGACUUUCGAUCUGCUUAGAGACCUAAGCCGCGAGCCUUUGCCCACACGGAGAAACGUACUAUCUAAUAUCUAACAACCCUGUACUGCAGUGUCUGGAGGUUGCGGGAAGGAGACAGUGUCUCCCUUUGGGAAAACUACUGAGGACUUCUGUAUAUCCUACUUCUUCUGGACUCCAUAAGUUACAGGACCGAAGGAAACUGAGAAAUAGAGAAAAGGUGCCGCUUGCCCCUUUAACUCCAGAAAAGGGUGGCUGCAGAUGGAGCAGCUUGGACUUUAUUUUUUACGUUGCGCGAAGCCCGCCGGCAGCGGCUUAUGCCAAUUGAUUUUCCCAGCUCCCAGCCCUGGAUGUCUAGCUAUCUCCAGGACAGUUUGUUUUUUUCUUUUUCUGUCUUUCUUUCUUUCCUUCAAUGUAUCAGAAGACCUGAAGCUCGCUGCCCGCGAGUUUCCUCCGAGUUCCCAGAGUCUUGCUCUAUUGCCCAGGCUGCAACUGGUGUGAUCUCGGCUCACUACAACCUCUGCCUCCUGGGUUCAAGCGAUUCUCCUGCCUCAAGCUCCCAAUUGCUGAGACAAAGGAAAACCCACUCCCUUGGAGGAGCAUGACCUUUUCCUGUAAUUCUUCCCACUGCUGUUGUUGAGCUCCUUGGAUCCUGGCUCCUGGACACCAUCAUCAAGAAGACUUUAUGGAUGGGCUGUCCACCCACUGAGAGAAGAGGAGCAUCAGCUACAGUUUCUCUCUAGAUUGCCUUCUUCAUUUUGAGUAAUGACUGUCAGCAGGGUCAGAUUAAACACAAAACAACUGGACAAUUGCUUGGAGGACUAAACUAUAAGGGCACUAACAUGUCAAUAGUAGGCUAACACAUCCAUGGAAAAUAUAUUUACCAGCUCUUCUCUCAGGGAGGAUUCUGUGUGGGGUUGGAAGUAAUGAUUUGUUAAAUUCCUUAGGGGUAGAAAGUAGGGCAUAAUCAGAAUAUAGAGGAAUAUGCUGUUUGACUUCAGGGUUUCUGUUUUUCUUACUAGGAUAUAUAAAACAGGGACUCUAGCUAGAUUGUUUAUGACCACAGAGGGUAGGCUGAGUGCUCCCAUGAUCUUCCUGCUUGGUUCUUGCCCAUACAGAGGUCAGCCUUUCCUCUAAUAAAGAUUGAACAAGUAGUGGUCUGAGGGAGACACCAAUUCAUUACCCUACAUGUCUCUUCUCUGCACUCCAGGGCUUUGAUAAUAAAGACACUGGCAGACUAUCUAUCUUCCAUUUCUAUAAUGUGAGCCCUUAGGGAGUCUUCGUUCACUUGGGGGUGAGGGUCAUUGCUCACAGAGUAGUUCAAGUCAAAUGGAACUUGAACUCUUUGCCUAUGGGCCUGGUGGUCAGACUCUGUGUUGAGUUCAUUAGAUUAUUGGAGACACAAGGUAGAGCUGGAUGCUUCAAAAAUAUUUGGCUAAAGGAUGACAUUGCUGGUUAUUUGUAGAUAAAGCCAUGAUGGAACCUGCUUGGAAUCAUGAAAUAUGGAACUGGUGGUCAUGUUUAAAAAUACAACUAAUAGUUAAGUACCUACUGGACACUGUAGAGACUUAGGGGCUAGACAGACAUGGUUCCUGCCCCCUUGGAGCUUACACUGUAGCUUCCCCUUAGGUAUGAAGAACAGUGGCUACAACUAACAAAUGGCCACAAAGAUAUAAUUGAGCCAGUGUUCCAAUUAUUAGGGUAAUUCCUAUUUCCUUAAUCAUUCCUAUUGACCAUGUUCUAUAAGCCUGCAUUCUAUAAAUGGCGUAUGACCAUGGGCUGUUUCCCCCCAGCAAGUUGUACAAAGUUCUGUGGUACCAGGGAAAGGGCUUAAGGUUAGCAGGGCCUCUGCGGAAGGACAUAUGAAGUGACUUGGGUUAGGAAACAGGAAGGGAUAGGAUUCAAGAACAGCUAUUGCUUCUGUUCUAUAUAGGAAACUGCAGCGUGAAAAAUGCUGGGCUGGGAAUUUUGAGACCUGGGUUUUAGUUUGUGUUCUAAUACUAACAAGCUAUGUGACUGUGGGUAAGUCAUUUCACAUUCCAUUUGGAUGCCUCUUGAGUGACUCCAGGCCUCUCCAGCUCUAAAACAUUAAGAUCAGGCCCUACGCUACAGCUGGCCAGUGUGUAAUUCUUCUGUUUCUAUGCUGUUAGGUCAAAUAGAUCUUCAAUAGUUACUUGAUUGUUAUUACUUUUUUCUGAAGUGGGUGUUUUAUCAAUGUUUUAGGAUACAGUGAGUCUGCUUCUCCCCUUUGGAGUUAGGAAGGUUGUAGGAAUAUACACUGUAGAGCAUAUGGGAGCUUUAUCCCCUCCUUUUUUCCCCGCUACCUUUCUCCCUCUCCUUCCCUUCAUCACAUUUCUAUUGAGCAUAUGCCAUUGCCGUGUACCAGGUGUGUGCUAGGUUUGGAGAUACAAGGUAAACCUGAGACUUUCCCAGUCUCCAGGAGACAAAACCCUAAUUUCUUUCAUCUGCUGUCUUUCUCUUUGGAAAGAAUCAACGAUAUCCCAGGGGAAUGUGCCCAUGUCCCAGGGUAACCAACUACAGACAGAUGCCCCAUUCUACUCAAGCAACUUUUAGAGUGCCUUGAGAUACACAUCAGAUAAUUAUGCAGGGCCAGGCAUGGUGCUGCACACUUGUAAUCACAGCACUUUGGGAGGCCGAGGCAGCAGAUUGCUUGAGCCCAGGAAUUCAAGUGUAGCCUAGGGAACAUGGCAAAACCCCAGCUCUACAAAAAAAUACACAAAUUAGCUGCGUGUGGUGGCCUAUGACAGGAGGCUGAGAUGGGAGGAUUGCUUGAGCCUGUGAGGUCGAGGCUGCAGUGAGCCGAGAUCAUGCCAU
ensembl:lncRNA DLX6-AS1 DLX6 antisense RNA 1